GACGAACGCUGGCGGCGUGCUUAACACAUGCAAGUCGAACGGAAAGGCCUCUUUCGGGGGGUACUCGAGUGGCGAACGGGUGAGUAACACGUGAGUAACCUGCCCUUGACUUUGGGAUAACUUCAGGAAACUGGGGCUAAUACCGGAUAGGAGCUCCUGCUGCAUGGUGGGGGUUGGAAAGUUUCGGCGGUUGGGGAUGGACUCGCGGCUUAUCAGCUUGUUGGUGGGGUUGUGGCUUACCAAGGCUUUGACGGGUAGCCGGCCUGAGAGGGUGACCGGCCACAUUGGGACUGAGAUACGGCCCAGACUCCUACGGGAGGCAGCAGUGGGGAAUAUUGCACAAUGGGUGGAAGCCUGAUGCAGCAACGCCGUGUGCGGGAGGACGGCCUUCGGGUUGUAAACCGCUUUCGCUCAUGACGAAGCUUUGUGUGACGGUAGUGGGUAAAGAAGCACCGGCUAACUACGUG
rnacentral:rRNA from 1 species